CCUACGGGAGACAGCAGUGAGGAAUAUUGGUCAAUGGCCGGAAGGCUGAACCAGCCAAGCCGCGUGAAGGACGAAGGUGCCAAGCAUUGUACACUUCUUUUGUCAAGGGACAAAAUCAGGCUCGAGAGCCUGACCGAGGGUACUUGAAGAAAAAGCAUCGGCUAACACCGUGCCAGCAGCCGCGGUAAUACGGAGGAUGCGAGCGUUAUCCGGAUUUAUUGGGUUUAAAGGGUGCGUAGGCGGGCUGUUAAGUCAGCGGUAAAAGCCCGGGGCUCAACCCCGGCGAGCCGUUGAAACUGGCUGUCUUGAGAUGGCGAGAGGUAGGCAGAAGGCGCAGUGUAGCGGUGAAAUGCUUAGAUAUUGCGCAGAACUCCGAUUGCGAAGGCAGCAUACCGGCGGCGAUCUGACGCUGAGGCACGAAAGCGUGGGUAUCGAACGGGAUUAGAUACCCCAGUAGUC
rnacentral:rRNA from 1 species